UACGUAGGGGGCAAGCGUUGUCCGGAAUCAUUGGGCGUAAAGCGCGUGUAGGCGGCUCGGUAAGUCCGCUCUGAAAGCCCGGGGCUCAACCCCGGGAGGCGGGUGGAUACUGCUGAGCUCGAGUCCGGAAGAGGAGUGUGGAAUUCCUGGUGUAGCGGUGGAAUGCGCAGAUAUCAGGAGGAACACCGGUGGCGAAGGCGGGUCUCUGGGCAGUAACUGACGCUGAGGAGCGAAAGCGUGGGGAGCGAACAGG
rnacentral:rRNA from 1 species